rnacentral:rRNA from 1 species
AUGGGCGCGUUCGUGGCCAUGGAUCGCCUGGGAAGUCGUCACGAGAAGGCACCGCCGGCGGGGACGAAGCGCGAGCUCCCGAGCCUGGAGCCGCGCACUGCCCCUCCCCUCAGCCUCAGGUCGCUGCUCGGCUCGGUAUAUGGCAGACGCCAGGAGUUCGCUGAGGGGUCUCAGGCGGCAAUCGCGUCGGCGGAACAGUUGAUCCGGGAGAUCGACGAGGCCCUGGCAAAGCAGGGCGGCGACAUGGAGCAAGAUUGCAGACAAAAAAUUGAGCUCAAGUUUGGAGUACUGAUGCGUGCUCCUCCAUCGCCGCUGCUACGGCAUCAGAGGCCAUGGUCUUGCCGUGUUGGGGAUGGAAUUUGGCAUUGGCAGCGGGUGUGGACGACGGAAAAAAUGAGGCGUAGGCGUCGUGCCCUACUAUCCGCCAACGAUGGUCAUGCUGCUGGACUAGGCCUGAUACCUAGAGCCCUUGUGAUCUCAAGGAAAAGAGGUUGGUCGCGGGUUGUUGCGUGCGUGGGGUUUGUUCUGAUCUCCAUCAACUCCACAAUUCCAGCUUCCCAUCCCAGCUUCUCACUCCACACAGCGAGACAACUCUGUUCGGCAUCGAUCGCUGGCUUCUCCCAUCGCCACUAUGUGCUGGCAGCAUGGGUGGCCUGCCUUAGCGCCAUAAUGGGCCGGUUGGAGGCAGCCCAGCUUGGCUUUUCAGCAAGAGAAGGAGCACAGGUCGACUCGGAGACAUUGUCGGGGUCGACGAGAAGAGAAGAGAUGGACGCGGUCGUGGCCGUGGACCGCCUGGCCCGUCGUCAACAGAAGCUACAGCCGGCGGGGACGAAGCGCAAGCUCCCGGAGCCGCGCACUCUCCCUCCGCUCAGCACGCGGCUCAGCUCGGUAAACGCCAGGCAUCGGGAGACCGCCGAGAAGUUUCUGGCGGACAUUGCGUCCGCGGACGAGGUGAUCCGAGAGCUCGAGGAGGCGCUGGCGAAGCAGGGCAACGACAUGGAGCAAGGCUACCGAUUCCAGGCCCUUCUCCUUUCUAAUCGGAGGUGCAAGCAGAAACAAAAUGAGCUGAAGAUUGCAGCUUAUCACUCAUGCCAAGUGAUGAAGAAGAUUGUAGUUCCAAUGAAAAGACCGGGUUUGCUGACUUUUUGUUUAAACGAGUGCAUGCAUGCAUGUCUGGUGCGUGGCAGCGUGAGUACAUACUGCGUCGGUUGGUCGUUCUUUAUUUUUGGCACAGGGGCGCCGGUCGAUCAGACGCAGCGUACCUACGCUAGCUACUUCAACACAAAGCCGUCUCGCCGGCUCAUGCUCAUGCAUCGCCGGGGCUGUCGCGCGCCUAGCUACCGGCCAUCACAUCACGCCGUCCCUCACCGUUCUUGGGAACCUGAAGUGAAGGUCUCCAUGGACGUCAGCUCAGCCACGUACAACGUCGGCUUGGCCACCGGCGAGCGAGCAUACCUCUCCGCCGGGGCAUCCGCGCUGCGCUCCACCUACUUCCUCUUCUGCAUCAUGUAUGCAACGCACGUCGCUGGGUGGGUCUCCAACUCUCCAUACUGCAGCACACCCAUUCGCCAUGGCACAUCUGUGAGGGCGCGAGGCGGCCGCAGCGUUGCAGCCAUCGAAGCUGCACCAGGCAUCUUCUUCCUUCCUCGCUACCCAUGGUGCAGCUACUCGGUGCCUUGUAUUCUUCCUACGAUGCCUUCGUGCCGCAGCAGAUCAGACUAA